CUUUGAAGAUGUUGCAACUCCGCGGCUGUUUCAGGGCAGACCGGCUCACCUGGCCUGCCGGGAACAGAGACACAAACACGCUUCAUGAGGAAACAGCAGCACUCAACAGAACCAGUGCUCCCAAUUGUGGACCAAUAAAAAGCGAUGGCACAACUACAUCCAGAGGAAGAUAAAAUGAAGGCUGCCUGUGCGUUUGCAAAGAUUUCUUGUAAACUUAAAAGAUGACAAAAAGCAUCCCUGUGAGUGUGUUUAAAGAGGGGAGUGCCCUUUUAUUUUAACAUUUAUUUUAAAGUUUUAUUUAUUAACUAUUUUGCAAAUUUAGAUUAAAAACUAGCAAUAACUAAUUUAGCUUUUUUUGGGUUGGGCUAGUAAAAUUUUCAUCUCUACUGGUAAAAAAAAAGUAAUGUCAGACACUGAAACUGUGUGUCGUCAACAUAGGAAACAUGGUAAGUGGAGGCCUGAAUUACAGCCCACAACUUGGGUCAGCUACGUGUUAUCUAAUCUUUUUUCUUAUACCAAAAUAAAAUCUUGAUGCAAACACA